rnacentral:lncRNA from 1 species
UUUCAAGCAAGCUCUUCUCUCAUAUCGUUACACAGGUUGAUCCGAUCUCCUUUUCCGACUUGUUUAGAUCUAGGUUUGAAUGUUGAGCUUCACCACGUAGUAAAAUCAGAAUGGACAUCAUUAUUUUCUCUCCUUCGUCCUUUUUGCCGACUAUGAUGGUGGUUCCUUCGGUAUAUUUUAUUAUUUUGACAAGUAUCUUACAUUUUUGCAGAUACAUAUACUUUCUCCAAUAGAGUUUCAUCUCGUUCCCGUUGAACUUGAUAAUGUUCUAAGCCAUUAUGAUAGAGGAUUAUGGUGAGGAAUCGUGAUGAAAAGAGAAAGCUUUGUUGUUAUUAACGUCGAUAUCUUUCUCGUGUAAAUUUAUCUUUCAAACAUUCAAGCAAGGUAUUAAUAAUUUAUGUAACCAUAUUUGAAC